rnacentral:rRNA from 1 species
UACGUAGGGGCCGAGCGUUGUCCGGAUUCAUUGGGCGUAAAGAGCGUGUAGGCGGCCAGAAAAGUCCGCUGUGAAAACUCGAGGCUCAACUUCGAGCUGUCGGUGGAAACUUUCUGGCUAGAGUCCGGAAGAGGAGAAUGGAAUUCCUGGUGUAGCGGUGAAAUGCGCAGAUAUCAGGAAGAACACCCGUGGCGAAGGCGGUUCUCUGGGACGGUACUGACGCUGGAGACGCGAAAGCCGUGGGGAGCGAACAGG